GAUGAACGCUAGCGGCAGGCCUAACACAUGCAAGUCGAGGGGUAACUAGAGUGAUAGCAAUAUUACUUUGGCUAGACCGGCGCACGGGUGCGUAACACGUAUGCAACCUACCUUAUACUGGGGAAUAACUUCGAGAAAUCGGCGCUAAUACCCCAUAACAUUGCGAAGAGGCAUCUCUUUGCAAUUAAAGCUCCGGCGGUAUAAGAUGGGCAUGCGUCCAAUUAGCUAGUUGGUGAGGUAACGGCUCACCAAGGCUACGAUUGGUAGGGGUUCUGCGAGGAUGAUCCCCCACACAGGUACUGAGACACGGACCAGACUCCUACGGGAGGCAGCAGUGAGGAAUAUUGCGCAAUGGACGAAAGUCUGACGCAGCCAUGCCGCGUGCAGGAUGACGGCCCUAUGGGUUGUAAACUGCUUUUGUACGGGAAUAAACCCUUCUACGUGUAGGAGGCUGAAGGUACCGUAAGAAUAAGCACCGGCUAACUCCGUGCCAGCAGCCGCCGUAA
rnacentral:rRNA from 1 species